rnacentral:rRNA from 1 species
UACGUAGGGUGCAAGCGUUAUCCGGAAUUAUUGGGCGUAAAGAGCUCGUAGGCGGUUUGUCGCGUCUGCUGUGAAAACUGGAGGCUCAACCUCCAGCCUGCAGUGGGUACGGGCAAACUAGAGUGCGGUAGGGGAGAUUGGAAUUCCUGGUGUAGCGGUGGAAUGCGCAGAUAUCAGGAGGAACACCUGUGGCGAAAGCGGCUCACUGGACCAUAACUGACGCUGAUGCACGAAAGCGUGGGGAGCAAACAGG